rnacentral:misc_RNA from 1 species
AUUAUAUAAGAUUUCUAUCAGAUUUCUAUAAAUUUUUAUCAUUUUUUAUCGAAUUUUUUAACCAAGGGGCAGCGUAUAAUAGUGCAGCAGUCAAACAUGGUGAAUCCAGCAAAGUACAUUUCUUCAAAUGAGAUGCAAAAACGCGCCGUAUUGACAGUAAUAAAAGAGUUUACCAAACAUUUAAAAAGUAUAUCUGGGAUAUGUAUGGAUGUUGGUUGUGGUCCCGGAGACAUAACAAAUAAUAUCCUUCUACCAUCUCUUGAUUCAAAUUCUGUAAUAAUAGGAAAGUAUUUGAGAAUAUAUACUGCAUGCUUCAAUCUGGUGGAAGUAUGCUUGUACUGGUUCCAGCAUCUCAUCAUAUAAUAUUUGAAGUGCUUAAGAAUAUUGCGCAUAAUUCCCGUUUUGCGCCUUACUUACAACUUCAUGUAUGUCCGUUUGUACUUUUUUGGAUGUAAUACCGCUUGAACUACAGGAAGAAUUCGAAGUUAAAUUUCGACGUGAAUAUAAAAAUUACAAAAUUAAAUUGUACGGUAAUAAAAAUUGUAAUAUGAAAGAUCCAAUGUUAGAUGUGCACAAAUUAUUAAUAGCUUACGCACAAAAACAAUAAUUAUUAAACAAUAAUUAUAUAA